rnacentral:rRNA from 1 species
UGAUGGCGACCGGCGCACGGGUGAGUAACACGUAUCCAACCUGCCCAUUACUCAGGGAUAGGCUUCUGAAAGGGAGAUUAAUACUUGAUAUGUCAUAAUUUCGCAUGUCAUUAUGAUGAAAGAUUUAUCGGUGAUGGAUGGGGAUGCGUUCCAUUAGCUUGUUGGUGGGGUAACGGCUCACCAAGGCUUCGAUGGAUAGGGGUUCUGAGAGGAAGGUCCCCCACAUUGGAACUGAGACACGGUCCAAACUCCUACGGGAGGCAGCAGUGAGGAAUAUUGGUCAAUGGACGUAAGUCUGAACCAGCCAAGUAGCGUGAAGGAUGACUGCCCUAUGGGUUGUAAACUUCUUUUGUUCGGGAAUAAUAUGCCUUACGUGUAGGGUAUUGCAUGCACCGUUCGAAUAAGCAUCGGCUAACUCCGUGCCAGCACCCGCGUUAAUACGGAGGAUGCGAGCGUUAUCCGGAUUUAUUGGGCUUAAAGGGAGCGUAGAUGGGCGAUUAAAUCAGUUGUGAAAGUUUCCGGCUCAACCGUA